AUAUCCCACUGUCUUCGUUGUUACCAUCUCCAUCGAUGAUAUAGAACAUCGGAAAAUAAGUAUAAAUGUCAAGGCAUUUCACCCCAACAACUUCAGCAGGUUCCCAGUGAUGCUGAGAAACAGCGUGGGCGCACAGAGCCAGGGCUUUGCUACACUCCUGAUGAUCACUUUUAAAGUCUGCACUCUUACUGACCUACACCGAGAGGCAGAAUCCAGGGGCACACAUAGAAAACUAUUUUGAUGGGGGAAAAAAGCUGUUCCAAUCAAGCCUGGAAGCUCUCACCGGAGCCAGACCAGAGACUGACAACAGGAAGGGCAUCUACAGGACCUGGUCCAUGACCCAGCAGGGGGCACCUGAACUUGGGAGCAAGGAGCAUCUGCAAGGAGGCAGCGGGGUAGGAAGGAUGCAGAAAAUGAAUAGUGACCACUCAGGAGUCGAGUCGAGGGGCCCGAUUCUGAUGCUACAG